GGGGAAGGCCACUGACAGUGUUUCAGCUACAUGUCAUAGAAUUUAUUUGAAAAGCUUCAACAAAGAAGCAAUGAGACAACCACAACAGCUAGAGGAGCUAAUUUGAAGCUGGAAUUCCAUCACUUCCACUGGCUUUGUUCAUAGUGAUGCUUCCUAAGGCCCACUUCAUUUCACACUCCAAGAUAUCUGACUCUAGGCCUGGAAUCAGUGUUUUCCAAGGAGCAACAUAAAGUUCCAAGACCAGAAUCGAAGCCCCAGAGGUGGUCAUUGCUACUCAUUUCUUGCUGCUUCUGGAAGUUCUCAGUGGACAGUUAACAGACUAACAGGAGGAUCUACAGCAGCUUAGAGGUGCUUCUGUGUGUUCCUAGCAACGGGGAAACCAUGACACAGCGGGACCUCAGCAGGAGCUGUCUGCAUUUUCUCAUCUGUAAUGAGGAAAAACUGAAAAAUAUGGCUUCUACCCACGUUCAAGAAGCAGACAGACCAAGAAUCUACUGCUCUGUCUGGUUGACCUACCCCGUGACUGAAUUUUGCAAUGAAUCCUUAUCAGGUUGUUAUACACCAUUGCAACUGGGCACCUUAAAAUUAGAUGGAAGGAACAGAGUAUGUUACCGGAGGAUGUGCUGACUGGAUAAAAAAAACGUGUUAGAAUUCACCGAAGGCUACAGUCAGGUUUUGGAGAGUCAGAAACCCUAGGACCAAUUGACCAUCAUCGAGAAAACUGCCAAGGUCCUGCAUCAAAGUUCCAGAUGAAAUUAUGCAAAGUCCUCCAAGGCCUCAAAAUCUGCAAUCAAUUUCUGCUUCUUUACACAGAAAGAUGAUGUGGAGUAGUGGUCACGGAUUAUCUUAGCUCUCUGAGACUGCUGCACUGCCAAUCUCGGAAAACAAGACAGAGGCUUGUGAUUCUCACAGAAUGACAGCUGAGAUGUCAUCGCAAGUGUUUAGCGACUUUUAAAUCCUGUCAUUUUU